AGAAAGAAGCUGAUGGAAAAAAGAAAAUAAGGUGGCGAAGGAAUGAGUCAACGUCCUUCAGAAAGACCUGUGAGAUAAAUGAAUAUUGGAAAAGUUGCAGGUGGGUGGGAGAGCUGAAGCGGACCACCGUAAUGGGCACUGAAGACAGAGGCCAGAUAACAGUUGGCUGCUGCCAGUGCAGUAACCUGGACUGCGCCAAUGCAGGAGGGAGGAGAGGGGUAGAGCUAGUUAAACACAUUAGGCCAGGAAUCCAUUUUAGUGAUGUAUUGAUUCAUCUCAGAGGGACGUGGAAGCCGUCGAGAGUCACCGAGGUCUUUUAUCCUUGUGCUUACAACAUCAAGAUGUUUCUCUCUCUGGGAAACGGGUAAAGAGACUUCUCAAACAGCUUCCUAAUUUGUCCUGAACAGUCACUAUGAAGACUACAGUGGUUUUCUAUAUAGUGGGCUGAUGCCUCUCAAGCAUGGUUUAGCAAGAGAAUGCACAGACGUUUCCAGUGACAGUCAUUUAAAGCUCAUGGAGCGGUCGAGUGUGCGCUUCGACCUGUGUGCCCUCACUCGUCACCAAGCCUUUUCGAUUAAGUGAGUUAAAAUGCUGCAUCUAGUUGAAGUCAAU
ensembl:lncRNA